UGCCAGCAGCCGCGGUAAGACGGAGGGUGCUAGCGUUGUUCGGAAUGACUGGGCGUAAAGGGCGCGUAGGCGGUUUUGUUAGUCAGGCGUGAAAGCCCGAGGCUCAACCUCGGAAUAGCGCUUGAUACUGAACUGCUUGAGACCGGAAGAGGGUAGUGGAAUUCCCAGUGUAGAGGUGAAAUUCGUAGAUAUUACACAGAACACCGAUAGCGAAGGCAGCUUACUAAACUGAUACUGACGCUGAGGCACGAAAGCGUGGGGAGCGAACAGGAUUAGAUA
rnacentral:rRNA from 1 species